AUCCCAUGAUGUGGACAUCUUCUCAGUAGUUCUUUAAAUCUCUCCUAAGCUUCAUACAAGGAUUCAGCUUCAAAUUGUGUGAAUGAGGUUAUAUUAUUCCUCAUCUU
rnacentral:snoRNA from 1 species